CUUUAAGUCCAUACCACUCUGAACAUGCUUGAUCUCAUCUGAUCUUGGAAGCCAGACAAGGUGAGGGCUGGUUAGUACUUCGGAAUAGACUAGUUGUCCUAGCCA
rnacentral:rRNA from 1 species